rnacentral:tRNA from 1 species
CGUUCGGUAGCUCAGUGGAAGAGCGGCGUCCCAUCAGGACGCAGGUCAGCGGUUCAAUUCCGCUCCGGACGA